GGUUAAGCGACUAAGCGUACACGGUGGAUGCCCUGGCAGUCAGAGGCGAUGAAGGACGUGCUAAUCUGCGAAAAGCGCCGGCGAGGUGAUAUGAACCUUUGACCCGGCGAUGUCCGAAUGGGGAAACCCAGUGUGAUUCGUCACACUAUCGUUAACUGAAUACAUAGGUUAACGAGGCGAACCGGGGGAACUGAAACAUCUAAGUACCCCGAGGAAAAGAAAUCAACCGAGAUUCCCCCAGUAGCGGCGAGCGAACGGGGAGCAGCCCGGAGUCUGAAUCAGCUUGUGUGUUAGUGGAACGGUCUGGAAAGUCCGACGGUACAGGGUGAUAGUCCCGUACACGAAAAUGCACAGGUUGUGAACUCGAAGAGUAGGGCGGGACACGUGGUAUCCUGUCUGAAUAUGGGGGGACCAUCCUCCAAGGCUAAAUACUCCUGACUGACCGAUAGUGAACCAGUACCGUGAGGGAAAGGCGAAAAGAACCCCGGCGAGGGGAGUGAAAAAGAACCUGAAACCGUGUACGUACAAGCAGUGGGAGCCUCUUUAUGGGGUGACUGCGUACCUUUUGUAUAAUGGGUCAGCGACUUAUAUUCUGUAGCAAGGUUAACCGUAUAGGGGAGCCGAAGGGAAACCGAGUCUUAACUGGGCGUUAAGUUGCAGGGUAUAGACCCGAAACCCGGUGAUCUAGCCAUGGGCAGGUUGAAGGUUGGGUAACACUAACUGGAGGACCGAACCGACUAAUGUUGAAAAAUUAGCGGAUGACCUGUGGCUGGGGGUGAAAGGCCAAUCAAACCGGGAGAUAGCUGGUUCUCCCCGAAAGCUAUUUAGGUAGCGCCUCGUGAACUCAUCUUCGGGGGUAGAGCACUGUUUCGGCUAGGGGGCCAUCCCGGCUUACCAACCCGAUGCAAACUACGAAUACCGAAGAAUGUUAUCACGGGAGACACACGGCGGGUGCUAACGUCCGUCGUGAAGAGGGAAACAACCCAGACCGCCAGCUAAGGUCCCAAAGUCAUGGUUAAGUGGGAAACGAUGUGGGAAGGCACAGACAGCCAGGAUGUUGGCUUAGAAGCAGCCAUCAUUUAAAGAAAGCGUAAUAGCUCACUGGUCGAGUCGGCCUGCGCGGAAGAUGUAACGGGGCUAAACCAUGCACCGAAGCUGCGGCAGCGAC
rnacentral:rRNA from 1 species